GGUUGGUCUAAGCACAAUGGUGUUGACAACUACUUUGAUCACAACCAGUUUAAGAUUUUUGUUCCUUCUCCACUCCACUGUUUCACUUGACUAGGCUUAA
rnacentral:Y_RNA from 1 species